AGGAGAGUUUGAUCCUGGCUCAGGAUGAACGCUGGCGGCGUGCUUAACACAUGCAAGUCGAACGAAGCACCUCUAAUUGAAGAUUGACGAAGCUUGCUUCUGAUUGAUUCGCCUUGAGGUGACUGAGUGGCGGACGGGUGAGUAACGCGUGGGUAACCUACCCUAUACAGGGGGAUAACAGUUGGAAACAGCUGCUAAUACCGCAUAAGCGCACAGCUUCGCAUGAAGCAGUGUGAAAAACUCCGGUGGUAUAGGAUGGACCCGCGUCUGAUUAGCUAGUUGGUGAGGUAACGGCUCACCAAGGCGACGAUCAGUAGCCGACCUGAGAGGGUGACCGGCCACAUUGGGACUGAGACACGGCCCAAACUCCUACGGGAGGCAGCAGUGGGGAAUAUUGCACAAUGGGCGAAAGCCUGAUGCAGCGACGCCGCGUGAACGAAGAAGUAUUUCGGUAUGUAAAGUUCUAUCAGCAGGGAAGAAAAAUGACGGUACCUGACUAAGAAGCUCCGGCUAAAUACGUGCCAGCAGCCGCGGUAAUACGUAUGGAGCAAGCGUUAUCCGGAUUUACUGGGUGUAAAGGGAGCGUAGGCGGUGGUUUAAGUCUGAUGUGAAAGCCCGGGGCUCAACCCCGGUAUUGCAUUGGAAACUGGAUCACUAGAGUGUCGGAGGGGUAAGUGGAAUUCCUAGUGUAGCGGUGAAAUGCGUAGAUAUUAGGAGGAACACCAGUGGCGAAGGCGGCUUACUGGACGAUUACUGACGCUGAGGCUCGAAAGCGUGGGGAGCAAACAGGAUUAGAUACCCUGGUAGUCCCCU
rnacentral:rRNA from 1 species